rnacentral:rRNA from 1 species
ACGUUCGACACCUACGGAGGCAGCAGUGGGGAAUAUUGCACAAUGGGGGAAACCCUGAUGCAGCGACGCCGCGUGGAGGAAGAAGGUCUUCGGAUUGUAAACUCCUGUUGUUGGGGAAAAAGAGGAUGGUACCCAACAAGGAAGUGACGGCUAACUACGUGCUAGCAGCCGCGGUAAUCUGAGCGGGCUGGCAAGGC